CAAAGAGCACCAUUGGUGGUAUUGGUGCGGGCGUGUCUACCUGCUACCUGAACACGAACACCGGACAAUUGACAUAAAAGCCUACUUCGGUUUGUCAGUUACAUCAUUGAUUUUUCAACAGUGAGGCAAUUAACACUUCUGAAAGUUGCUGAUGGUUUUGUGCUAUUGUAACAAUUUAUUAGAUAUUCAAAAGAAAAAGAAUUGUUGCGUUAAAGAAUGUAACGCAAUACGGAUGACGUGUCGUGGAAACGUCUUUAAUGUGCCAAUAUCCGAUUUCUUGGUGUGCUACCUUUGGGUAAUGGGUCUCAACUCGAACCCAUAUUAUGUGAAAUGAAAAGAAUUGUGCUUUCGUUAUUUGAAUUAUAUCACCAAUUCACUACCUACUGAAAAUCGCGAAUGCGGGAGAAAAAGUCAUUUUCCACAAGAAAUGAAAUGCUCGCUAAACAAAAUGGAGUCCGAUUCCAUUGAGAGAAAUAAGAUAACGCGAUUCAAUGAGUAUCGAUUUAAUAGUACAGUAAUACCGGCAAUACAUUACAAUAAUAAAAUGUGCCCGGAAUAGGUUCUGAAUCUCAUUCAGAAACCUAUAAAUUAUUGACAACAGAAGGAAGCAAUAUGUAAAUCAUAGGAUAAAAAAAUUGCGAUAUGGAAUGUAACAGAAGGAACGCAAGCAGGAAUCACACGAGAUGUUUACACGUUCGUCGAAAGUUGUGUGUCCAGAAUUGUAUUGCUGUCGGAUGGAACAAUGUAAGUUGCAAAGCUGAUACAUGAUUGGGAGAAUACUGAGCAUCGGAUCUAGCAUCGGAAACCAACGGAAAGGCGCUAGAAAGUAUAACUAAUCUUAAAUUUUUGUGAACAAUGUAGAUCGUAUAAAGUGGAGCGUCGGAUGUCGAAGUGAAAUGGCAAAAUCAAAGAAAAAAAUUCCAGCUUACAAAAGGAAUCACAUGUGCCAAUGCGAAUUAUUAUCAAAUGUCUUGUAUUGCGUAGGAUACAGCUGACAUGAUCCUAACUAUAUAUUUCUAUAAAUAGUUCGUACUCUAAUUAGGGAAAUUGUCGAUCUCUCCAAAACUAAGUCGUUCAAGAGUAUUAGGUACAGAGUGGAGUUUGUUUCGAGGCCAAUCCUAAUUUUGAAAACUGCAUAUAAGCUUGCGAAUAGGGCAUUAGAGACUUACAAUUUGCAAAUUAAAUAGAUUAAUGAAACUAAAAGGUAUCUGACCCAAGACCGCAUGAGUGCAAACAAAUGCAAAUUAUUUUUGGGUCAAUUUAUCCAAUCAAGAUCAAGAGUUUCUCAAUAUUUUCUAUUUCAUUGAUUCUUUUAGAACCAGAAUCGAGAGAAACUUCGGGUGCAAAAUCGAAAGUUCACCCCAAGCUUCUUCGUUGACCUCUUGCGCACCGACUACGUCAUUAGUCGGAUAUGUGCAUUACAAAUUUGAGAUAUUGAAGUCCGCUGAAGUAACAUAUAAAUACGUACCACUUCAAUUUCGGAUAUGUUUUAGAAAUUCGUUUUUUCGUCAUAUUAGAUGGUUUCCGGACGUUUCACGAUUUGUAAUAAUUGCAUAAACCAGCCAAUUUGACGAAAAGUAAACAAUUUCGGAUAUGUUUUAGAAAUUCGUUUUUUUUAUGUUUUCGGAGGCAAUUUCUGUUUAACAAGAACAAUUUGCUAACGGAAAGAAUUACAAAACUGUACCUAAAAUGUCGUUAUCAUAUGACCAAAGGUCGCAUGAGUGCGUAUACUGAACCAACAACCAAUUUAUUUUCGUAUAUAAUUAGAAAUACGUCUUUUCCCCAAACUAACAACUGGAGUUUCGAAGAAAUUCUAUAGUUUAUUCUUGUUUCAGUGAAUAUUGUAUGGAACCGUGAUAUUAUCACUACGGAAUAUUAUUUUUAAGAGGCAUGCGAAUGCUUGUUUCAGGUUAUAAUGAAUCUUUUCUACACCUUUUUUUCUAAACUUUCCCGCAACUAGCUUCUAUGCCGUGUUGCUUUUAAUGGUGUCUUACAUCCUUGCCUCCAUAGCUUCAGAAGUCGUCCUUCCGUUCAAUUAUCGGAAUUGCUUCUAAACUGGUCGGUUGUGUAACGUCCAUGCCGCAGCUUCUCUCCCCCACUAUCUGAGCUGGUUCUUUCGGUGCGUGUUCCUGUUUUUCCUUUCUAAAAAUAAACUCAAAUCUGGGUUAUAAUAUUUUUCCAAUAAUAAUGGGAACCUGUAAAGUAAUUUAGAUUCUAAUUCUGUGCUGAAUGUGUUAUCUUAAAAACAUUUUCUCAUUUUAUUACGAUAUUCCUUGUGCUUUUAUUGUGCCCUUCUUUUAUUCCGUUGGACUUCUGCAUCUCCAUUUCUGGAGGCAUUUUCACCUCUAUCCUUGGCUCCAUGUAAAUAUGAUCUGUAUUCGUAUUAUGUUCUGCAUUCCCUAAUCCUAAAUUUACUAUUAUCUCUGGUUUCGGUUUUUGUCCCUGCGAUAGAAGGUUGUCGCUCAUAUUCCCUGUCAUUGGGCUCGAUAUCAUUUCCUUUGUUAUGUUUUUGUUUUGUUUGGCGACCUUAACUUCGCAUAGCUCUAUUGGUACCUCGUAUAUGCCUAUCUUUGCUCUUUAGGUUGUUACUGGUCACGUUGGUUCUACUGCAGCAUGAAAUUUUUCCUUGAUUGAACCGGGCAAAGAAUACAAUUUGCCCGGUCCAAGAACAUCAAUCAGAAGACCCAGCUCGUCCGGAGUGGCGGGCCCAGGUGUCCGGGAAUAGGUCCAUCGACGGCGAACCCAAGCCAGAACCUCCAGUAGCAACUCCUUGCUGGACACUGCGCGAUACUCGCCGAGAGCGAUCCUCCCGGCCAGUAUCCUUCAAUAGCUGAUGGUGUAUAUGAGCGAUGGUGUCACCCAUCGAUACAACAGGAGCGCCAUACUAAUACAACUUCGCCCAACAUCCUCAAUUCCGAAAUCCUCGCCCGUAGUCCUGGCGUGUCCUUGCUGAGCGUACCGCGCCUUCCUUCUUCACCUGCGGCCAGUACCGCUGUCACCACUUGCAAGCUCCCGGCCGAGCGGUGGCGCGAGAAGAAUAACAAAAGGGAGGAUGGUUCUUUUAUUCAAUUAUUUGGAAGUGAUGAAUCUGCUCGUGUUUAGAAACGUUUAUUUAUCACUAUUUCUUCUCAAUCAAGACGGUUCUAUUUCCAGGCUUUUACACUAUGGCAACAAUCUCUUUUGAAUAUUCGAAUAAUCUUCUUGGCCGGACUUCAACUAAACUCACUUAAAACUGACUGUCCGAAUACUCGAAACAAAAAAAAACUACUUAAUACCGACCGCUUUUGUUACCUCUCUAACGUUUUGAACUGGACACAAACUUGCCCACGGGCCGACGACCGAAUUAAUAACAACUACUUAAUAUGUCUACGGGUCGACUCCCGAGACUAACGCCUAGUUACCGCACUCUGUAAAACUGGACUAACUGCUUAUUUGUCUACGGGUCGACGCCCGAGACUAACGGCGCACUCGUUAAAACUGAACUGAACUCCUAACUCUUCCCAACUAUGGGUUUUUUAAUGCUCCUAACAUUUACUUUCGGGUGAAGCCCGAAGAUUUUAGUACAAGCCGAGCUUGUGAUUCUAGGUAGAAAAGUUCAUCCGACUUUCUGCCGAAGUUCUACCGAAAGCCGAGACUACUGUCACUAUGCCAGAGGCAGUGUCUUUGUUUUUACAACAUUGCUGCGCUGACUAAUGCCCGGAACUGUCUAUGGUUUCAUGACAAAGUUUCUUAAACAUUGUUGCGAUGACUAAUGCUCGCAAAUGUGCACGCUUCAAUAACAAAUUUUAUACUUGAAGGUUGCAGCUACGCUGAUAUGAGAGUUUCCUUCACAAUUUCCUACUUUUUCUACAAUACUAGCAAAUUCGAAGGAAAAUUUUCUAAGGGCGCUGCACUAUCUUGUCCUGCCCGUACGUUCGUUAGACCUGACUACCUAGCCCUAAACUAUUGUAUCAGCGGUUAACCUGUCCGAACAUGUCGAAUCGUCGAUGCGGCGUGGUGGUUUCGGUUGAUGCAAUUCCUAAUGGUUCUUGGCUGAUGUAACCACGGUGGCCGGAUGUCUGCUGCGAUGUCAGCGGUUCAAUCAUUGGUAACAGGGUGGUUGACAUCUCCACGCGUUGGAUACACUGGCGUCUUACUGCUGGCGUGUACUUUGCUGAGGUCUGUGCGUACGGGCCUUAUGCUUCCGGAAACCGUUUACAAUGCCAAUAUUUCUCUAACGAACUCUUGUUACUUCCAACGGUGAAGAAAACAAAAAAGUCGCAGUUCGGGAGAUUUUUCAGAUAUAUAUCCAGAUACAGAGAAACAAGAUACCAGCUUGCUAUGAUUUCUUUCAAAUUCUAUUUCAAUUUUUUGUAUGACCAUUUUGUGCUGCUAAGUGCAAGCGCCCAUAUGUGGGCUUAAGGUUGGGUUAUCCGUGUUAUGAUCUCGUUUUGUGAACGAUGACAUAGCACGGCAUGUGACCGACGAUGUCUUUCGGAAUGUAAAUAAUUGAACUGAACUACACUCGGUUGUCAGCAAUAGACUGUCUUUAUUAUCCUCUUGUAUAUUCUUUACAACAUUCCUUACUUGAAGACACUUGAAGCACCGGUAUGUUAUGUUAUGUGUCACUGUAAGUUGUAUCGAUGUUCUUUUUUCAAAUUAUUUAUUGAAGUAUCUCAAUGUUUUCGUUUUCCUCUUCGUAUGUGAUUUAUUAUAUGAACAAGAUACCAACUUACUAUGAUUUCUUUCAAAUUCUAUUUCAAUUUUUUGUAUGACCAUUCUGUGCUGCUAAAUGCGCCUGUUAACGAAUCGCGUAUCUGGGUUUCUAUUUUAAAAAAGUGACAAUUCACAGUUAAAGGUCGGAUUAUCGGAUCUAGGUUUUUAAAAAACGACUGGACUGUACUGAACUACUUUCUCAAGAAUAGGAGUAUAUCUGUCGAGAUCGAUUACGUGAAAUAAUUUGUGUUCGCCUAUUUUUAGGAAGCUGUAGCCAUUUUGAAUAGUUACUAGUCCUGGGUUGAGAUGUAGGUUGGAAAUUUGAAUAGAACGGAAGGCAUGGCUUGGAUUGUGAGAGAGAUAGAAGGUGAUUGUCGCAUCGCAACGAGGUCUCUGAUAAGAGAGACUUCGUCCCUACGAUCGCUAUAAUGUGUAAUUGGGUUCGAUUUGAUAUCAUUUCAAUUCAGUGAAUCGAUCAAAGCCGUUAAAUUGUCGAUUGGUCGGAUGAAAGAGUGUAGUUUAAUUUUAUCGCCGGUAAAUGGCGGCAGAUCUUGUAUGAUUUGCGGCGUUUGCAGCGCCGUUUCCGCCGUUCCGACACCGGCACGCUGUGCGGCCUGCACGGCCUCGGCGGCACCUUGCGCUUCUACUCUAAGCUGAUGGAUGAUUUCAUCCCUAUUUUCAAUUUCGGCUCGCAUGUGCGCGAGUUGCUGUUCGUAUUGAUCCAUUUUAAUUUUCACUUCACUUAAUUUUCACUUCACUAAGGUUAGAUAAUGUAUUUAUUGGAAAAGAUUUUUUAUGUUAGAUGAAACCACCGGUUGCACUCGUCGCACGCAACCGCAAUGAACUCCGUGCGCAAAUCAAUUGAUUAUCUUCAGUUGAUUAAAAAUCUUUAAAACUGAAGAGCUAUCGUCAGAUUGCCAAGAAGUGAUUUUCGGAGUAGUGACUACGAGAACACUCUUCUAAGGAAUUUUUAAUCUUUUUAAAUUUUUCAGGGGGUUUUUAUACAAAUUUUCGUUUUUCAUAUCUAAUAACAUAUCCUUUAUCUAACAUAAGAUGAAAUGAAAACAGAACAUUCUUUGCUCCUCAUGAUGCUGAAAAAGUCUACCGGCAAACAGCACUGCUCCGGGCUGGCUGGUCUAUUUAAUCUGUUUCUUUCCUAAGGUUUAUUUAGGAUAUCAUGCUUUAGCUGGCGGUAAGAAAAUUCUUCCGAUUCGCUAGUGGAACCGUGAUAUUAUCACUACGGAAUAUAAUUUUUUAAGUCGACAUCAUGUGUGUACGACUAACGCCGUAAAGAAGCUUCUGGAGACCGUUUAUAAUAUUAAUAUUUCUCUAAAAAACUCUUGUUAUUUUCAACGAUGGAAAACAAGUUCAAAAAUCGUCUAUCAACGUAUUAAGAAAACAGAAAAUUCACAGUUCGGGACUGGGUCCUAUAGAUAAACAAAAUACCAGCUUGCUAUGAUUUCUUUCAAAUUCUAUUUCAAUUUUUUGUAUGACCAUUUUGUGCUGCUAAGUGCAAGCGCCCAUACGUGGGCUUAAGUCAGAAUGAAAACUAGUUACUGUAAUCUACCGUCUGUAAAAUUAGUGCGAUUCAGCUUAAUUCUGUCACCGUGUAAUAAUACUUUUCCGCUGUUAUUUUAACCGUCUGCUCACCGCGUGCGUAGUUCGCCAAUAAAUCCUAACUUUUUCACUCUAAGUAUGAAAAAUGUAAACUCACCUGAAUACGAUUUCCUUCGUUUUCAAUACACUCGCGGUAAAACACAAAAACACAAUACCUCCUCUCAAAUAGCGUUCUGUAUUUAAAAAAUGUUCCUUUUCCGCUGUCAUCAAAUGCGACAUCUAACCUGAGCGGCGAGAAGGGUUGAAAAAGGGGAAAGGUUUUUUUUAUGAAAUAAAACAACUGGACUAUCCGUCCAAUUUGGUGUCUAAAAUACAACUGCUUUAUUUACAAAUUUUUGAUUAGUGUUUCUGGCGAGACCGGCUUAUCUUGGCUCUUCUCUGGAACCACCAAUAUUACUGGUGAGACAUUUUUCUAGAGUCACCAAUGUUAUUGACUGCAGAGAUUUCUUUCUGCAGCCAACAAUAUUGAGGGGUUCUGUAUUGAAGCCUAGUGUAAAAUAGUAAUCAAUAUAUAACAGAUAUGAGCAUUUACUCUCACACUUCAUCACGAAGUCGGGAGCGUAGAUCGCUAAGCGAUACACCCGGGACCCGUAGGUCCCGAGUCCAAGCUUUCCCUCAUCGGGGUUGCCGGGCCCAGGCGUCCGCGAAUAGGCCCAACGACGACGAACCCAGGCCAUGAGCUCGAGAAGAAGUUCUCUGGCGGAUACACGCCGGAAUUCGCGGAGGGCGAUCCUUCCGGCCAAUAUCCGCCAGAAGUUGAUAGUGGGGAUGAUCGAUAGCGUCACCCAUCGAUAGAUCAGAAAUUCCUCUAAGAAGAGAAAAAAAAAAACAAGAACAAAUCAUUAAUCAUUUUUUUAAAUAAAGUAUACUUAGUAUACUUGAAAAAAAAAGUACACAUUCUAUCGACCGAAGUCGGCACGGAAUACCACACAUUUGUCAUUUCGGCUGCUCACUUCACUCUCUCGGAACUUAAAGGAAAAAAAGAACUGACGAUAACCCAUGCGAAACGGCAGGCACCGAGCGCGCGGCGGUCAAUUUUCGCAAAAUCGACAGAAGCGCGAACCAAACCAGCAUUUUAUUUUUUUCCAGUGCCCUUGGAAAGAUAUUUUUGUUGUUACUCGUCGCGUUUACGCUGACGUGAAAGCUUACCUGAAAGGUGACGAGUUUUUCCUUCAUGGCUUCCUACUUUUUUUUACAUCACUAGCAAAUUCAAAGGAAAAUUUGCUAAGGGCGCUGCACCUCUUUGUAUGUGAUUUAUCGUAUGAUCAAGAUACCAGCUUACUAUGAUUUCUUUCAAAUUCUAUUUCAAUUUUUUUUCGACAAGAAAAAGAAGCGCGUCUGUCUUUAUGACCAUUUUGAGCUGCUAAAUGCAGCUGGUCGCGAGAACCAAUCGUAUCACCAUAUAUAUUUCUGAUAUUACGUCUUUUAAGAUUUUAUCUGAUCAACAAUUCUUCUCCAUGUAACUCGAUCCAUGGCUGCUUGCCUCCAACCAUAUCGCGAUUGGAUAACCAAAAGUUUUCGCCAUAUUUAUUUAUUUAUUUCGUCAAGCAAAUGUAGACUACAUAUAAAUGGUUUACAAUGUUUACUUAGAUACUACGCAUUAUUUCUACGACUAAGCUGUAAUUUCAUUUCAUUUUUGGACAUACCAAGGUCAAGAUGUUCGCAAUAUUGAUUGUAAUGGCGCAUUAUACGAUGGAUUGGGCUAUAUUUUGCAUAAUUUGUUCUAGUGUUUCUUUCUAAAAAUAAUUUCCUGGUUCGUAAUUGACGGCUAGGUAAAGAAGGUGAUUGAAUGCGUUGACAAAUAAUGUCGCUGAUAAAAUAAAGCAUUGCAUUGGUAAAGGAAAUGCUGUCCAGUUUAAUUUACGAAGUGCAUAUAAAUGAAAUUGUUUUUGAAUAGAUUCGAUGCGUUCUUCGUGAAUAAUGUUAUAUGGAUUCCAUACUAGGCAGCAAUAUUCCAAAAUAGGUCUCACAUAUGUAGUGUAUAAUAAUUUAAUUGUGUAUGGAUCCUGAAAGUUAUGACUGAAGCGUUUAAUAAAGCCCAGCAUGCUAUUUGCUUCAUUGAUUAUGGUAUUGUAGUGUUCCACAAAAGUGAGCUUGGAGUCUAAGAUUACGCCUAAAUCUCUUACAAUUUUACAUUUUUCUACAAGUUGAUUUCCUAGAUGUAUGUUUGUGGAUAUAGUUUCAUUUUCCCUACUGAAAGUUAUUGAGUUACAUUUUUUUACAUUGAGUUGAAGUAGACUUUUGCAGCACCAAAUGUGGAAUAGAUGGAUUUCGUUCUGGAAUAUUACAGCGUCGCUGAUAUUUUUAAUUUCCAUGAAGAGUUUCAUGUCGUCUGCAUAUAUAAGCACUUUCAGAUUUUUGAGUAUGAAGGAAAUGUCUACGUCCUCUUCCUCCUCUUCCUCUAUACGAGGAUGCUUGCUGUGUUCUCUGCAUUUUAUUUAAAAUGUGGUGAUUUUGGAAAAAUUUUCGCACUCAGUGCUAAACCUAUUUCCUGGCAGUGAAAAUUUUUGGUUAUGUUGUCGCUACCGCAUGACUUGCUGACCGGAAACUCGCUUCACGAGGAUGUCCAAAAUUCAAGAUUGCUAGCCGGUAUCAGGGAAAUAUUGGUCGAACUUCGAAGAAAUGAGGAAGAUGACUGCCGAGACCCUUUCGGCGAAAUGACUUUUGGGUAAAUGGCUUUCGGCGAAAUGACCCUGAUCCCUUCCCAACUAUGGGUUUUUAAACUCCUAACAUUUACUUACGGGUGAAGCCCGAAGAUUUUAGUACAAGCUGAGCUUGCGAUUUUAAGUAGAAAGUUCAUCCGACUUUCUCCCGAAGAGCCGGGACCACUGUCACUAUGCCAGUGGCAGUGAUUAGUAUCCGUGAAACAAGUAACUUUGUUUCUACAUCAUUGCUGCGCUGACUAAUGCCCGGAAAUGUCCAUGUUUCUAUAACAAAGUUUAUACAUCAAGGUUGCGGUUACGCUGAUAAGAGAGUUCGCUCGACGAGUUUUCAUCUCAACUUUCUACUUUUUCUACAAUACUGGUAAAUUCAAAAAAAAAAUUGCUGAGGGCGCUGCACAUCGUGUGGUACCUUAUUUCUACUCUACUAGACCUCUACUGACAUAUGAUAGCAUCGGUCUAUCAAUAGACUUUUCAUCAGACAGUACAGCUCCAAUAGCGUGUUAGCUUAGAGUUCGGUAUACCCAACCGAAUGUUCACCGAUUUCUAAAUUCUUCGAAUGCCUUGUGGCAUUCAUCUGUUUAAACGAAUUAAUGGUUUUACACGAAUCGGGUAUCAGUUCUGAGUGGUUGUGUGUGCCCCAGUCACGGUCGCCAUAUAGUAAACUGUCUCUGUUUCUAUCUCAAUCAGAACAAGGUAGCCGAUUUAUUUUGCAUACCAUUUUUCGGUAAUUCUAAAGUGAGUAGGUGGAACACUAGCUCUUGAUUCGGUGAGAAAAAAAGACAUACGACAUAAAAUUCCCAAGCCUGAUUGGACCGGAAGUAUACCACCUAUGGCCCUAGAUAUUGUGAACGGCAACAACUGUUUAAAUAAUUGAACUAUUCUUUUUUGUUGUCUUUAUUUCGUAAAACUGCUGUUCGUUGAGGCGCUCAUUAUCAUAUCUUUGUGCAUCGUACAUUUUUUUUCGUUAUCAUAUUUGUUCUUUCUAUUAGUUGAAUCUAUGUUUUUUUUCAAAUGCAUUUAAGUGUAUCUGCGAUAGAUUUAUUCGUCUGCGAUAUACUUAACUUGUCUGUGGAAAGAAAAUUGUUAUUAAAGUUGCGGCAUGCGAAUGCUUGUUGCAUGUUAUAAUGAAUAUUUUCUAAACCGUUUUUCUAAACUAUCCCGCAACUAGCAUCUAUGCCGUGUUCAUUUUAAUGGUGUCUUACCAUCCUUGCCUCCAUAGCUUCAGAAGUCGUCUUUCCGUUCAAUUAUUGGAAUCUCUUCUAACCUGGUUGGUUGUGUAAUGUCCAUGCCGCAGCUUCUCUCGGUGUUCGAAUUGAGUCGUGAUCCUUCUAUCCGGCAGGUAUAUCUUAGCGUGCUGCUUUUGCACGCCAAGCUCUACCUGUUGGCAGAUCAGCUCAGUUCUGUAUUUCUACCGACAGUUUGAGACUGACAGAAGUGGCCCCUUCGAAUCAGCUAGAGCAAAAUCUUGACUCUUGCUACCAGCCUCUCCACUAAUGCCAGCUUGUGACAAGAGAUUCUAAGAGGGGGCGCGUCGGAGCCGAUUGUAGGCCGUAUAAAUCUGGUCUUCCACGGUUUCUCGGCCAGAGUCCAGCUUGUGGAAAAUGGCUUGUAACUAAGCUCAGCCUAUUUCAGUGAGCAGAGAGUGAGAAAGGCGCUUCCGAACAGAUCCAUCCGACACUAAAACCAGCAAGUCAUGAUUCUCUCAACUGGAGACGAAGACAACCGCUGUUCAGCAUCAAACUGAAGAAUGAAAGGUGAUAUUCACUACACGCGAGAUACGACCGGGGCGGACAAGACUUAGACGUAUACUCGUUUAUUAACAAUUUCUUAAAGCUAUUUAUAAUAAGAAAAGUGUUGCAUUGAAUUGGAACGUUGCGCAACAUAUGACGCAACGUAUUGUUGUUUUCUCUUUCCAUUCCACAUCGGGAGUGCUGGCGGUUCGUCCGCGUCCCUAGCUAUGCAUACGCGCGCAUCUGGUUUACAUAAAUUUCUGCCUGGUUCUCUUAGCCGGCAUUUGUUUACCUCCUACAUUGAAUAGUCUAUAAGGCCCUAGCGCGCAGCUCUGUAAAAUUGAUCCUGCCUGUGCGCAUAUGCUGAUCCCUUUCUUAAGUGGAACGGAAAGGUUUUAUUACUAUGGAAAAUUUUUUAUGCUAUAUUGAAAUGUUCGAUCGCGUUUUGAAAUCCUGGAUUUGAAUUUGAUGAAAUGAAUGAAAUCUGCCGGGUAACUUUUCUAAUUUUAAGCCGUGCUGGAACAUCUAUUUUCAUUUUUAUUAUCUAUUUUUAUUUUUUAUUAUCUAUUUUUAUUUUUAUUAUCUAUUUCCAUUUUUAUUUUUAUUAUCUAUCCAAAGAAAAAUUUGCUGAAGGCGCUGCACAUAGUGUGGUACUUUCUUUCUACUCUACUAGACCACUACUGACAUAUGAUAGCAUCGGUCUAUCAAUAGACUUUUCAUCAGACAGUACAGCUCCAAUAGUGUGCUAGCUUAGAGUUCGGUCUAUCCAACCGAAUGUUCACCGAUUUCUAAAUUCUUCGAAUGCCUUGUGGCAUUCAUCUGUUUAAACGAAUCAAUGGUUUCACACGAAUCGGGUAUCAGUUCUGGGUGGUUGUGCGUGUGCCCCAGUCACGGUCGCCAUAUAGUAAACUGUCUCUGUUUCUAUCUCAAUCAGAACAAGGUAGCCGAUUUAUUUUGUAUACCAUUUUUCGGUAAUUCUAAAGUGAGUAAGUGGAACACUAGCUCUUGAUUCGGUUAGAAAAAAGACAUACGAUAUAAAAUUCCCAAGCCUGAUUGGUCCGGAAGUAUACCACUUAUGGCCACGAGUAAUGGUGUCCAAGUUUGAUUACAGUGUUACCCGGUCACCCAUGGAGCAUUACUCUUAACAGUUGAAUUAAGAAGCCUCGAUAAAAUCAAAAACCGCCCCUCUUAUACUCAAAAUAUAAGUACCUAACCAAAAGCUAUACAUAUAUUCCAGUUUUACACAUAUCUGGAAUUCACUGCUAACUCUUAACUGCGAAAUGUUCUUUUCCGGCGUAUUUAUGUAAGGCUGCCCUACAUAAUCCAUACUGGACAUUCUUGGGUUGACUAACUACCACCUAUAAUCAAUACACAUAUUUUCAUUGCUAUGGAUAUACGUGAAUGCAAUGCGAUUGCGUCGCUUGUGUACAUAAUCAAUUAACUCGCUCGGUGGUACAGUGUUUUGUUUUUUUUCCCAUCAUUCUGCCGAAACCAUUCUGAGGGAUAUUCAACCGGUCUCUCCGAAGCUAUAGUAAAAUUGUCUACUUUGGUUCGGCGUGCUUCGUCAUCAGAUAUUCUUCUCAUGAUUAUAAGGUUAAAAAGGAAAAGUUGGAUAAUCUAUUGGUUAUCUAUUUUGUGAUUUGUGUGUGUGCCCCAGUAACGGUCGCCAUAUAGUAAACUAUCUCUGAUUUUUUCUCGAACAAAAGAGGCAGUCGAUUUAUUUUUGUUUUCCAUUUUUCGGGAAUCCAGGUGGUGAGUUGAUGAAGUAUCAUUUCCUGAUUUGGCGAGAAAAAAGACAUACGACAUAAAAUCUGCAAAUCUAAUUGGUCCGGAAGUAUACCACGUAUGGCCCUUAUUUCGGUAAAUGUCUACAAUAGCAGUGGAGUUUUUUUUUGAUGGGCAAAUCGAGCAAUUGCUAAUCAUCAAAAUUGCAUUCUUUUCCAAGAGAUGUGCCUACCGAAAACUCCGUCUGUCCGUCUGUUACAAUUUUCUUGUUUACUUGCGUUCAACUAUUCUGCAUGUUAUUUGAAACAGUGUUCGAACAGUUUGACAUUUGCAUUGUGAAUUGUUUACACACUUAAUGCGCUUUAUUUCCAACGAUAUGACACGUAUCACCUAGGCGCGUAGAAAUCUACAAGAAGCUUCCAAAGACAAAUUAGUGUUUUUACAUGAAACUUCUGGCAUCAGCUCUGGGUUGUUGUGUACCACAGUCACGGUCGCCAUGUAGUAAACUAUUUCUAUCUCGAUAAAAAACAGGUAGCCGAUUUAUUCUGCAUUUCGUUAAUUCUAUGGUGAGUUAGAGGAACACUAUUGCUUGAUUCGGCGAGAAAAAAAGACAUACGACAAGAAAAUUCCCAAACAUAAUUGGUCCGGAAGUAAACCACCUAUGGCCCUUAUUACGAUUUCGGCAAUCAUCAUUUUUGUACUUCAUCAUCACUGAGUUCAGCUCGGAAAUAUAAAAACUGUUUGUUUAUUUAUUUUUCACUAUAAUAAACAGUAACUAUGGUGAACUUGUUCUCACCCUUCAGUGUGCGAACACUCGAGCGGCGAGAGGGGUAUUUCUUUCAAUGAACAGAUUUUACUUUUUUUUCUGUUAAAUCGAUAGACCGCACUUUAUUUUUUUUUCUUUUAUUCUUUUAACAGCCUUUAUACUUCAACGCACUAACUACCCUACAGCACAUAAUUUUGUGCCUGACCUAACUUUCAUUAGCCUGGACCCAUUAAUGUCAUUGGGGAACAAUGCUGCCGCUAUAACAGUUUGCAUAGAUUUUGGGAAGUCAGUACCAAAAUCAGCGCUUGAAAGGGUUGUUGCCCUGGGUAUCUGCACUUCUUGCAAGUUCAGCAUUCUGAUGGUGACUAUUGGAAAUAUAGCCGCAACUCUCGAUAAGGUCAGCACAUCAUUUCCACCUUUACCAACGUUGUUCUUCAGUUGAUAGAUCUGCCUCAAAUGAUUUAAUCUUGUUUUCCCAACCUCAUUUGUCCUCUGCAUCAUUUUCUCUAGGUUGUUUCCGCUUGUCAAAAAUAGUAUAAUCAUAGACAGAACAUCUUAACGAAUUUCAUCCGUAGUUUUUGCUGCAAGGCCUCCUCUGCUGUACAAAAUGUUCAUCAGACUAGUGACGUUCAGUCCUUGGUACUCAAAAUCAGCUAGAGCUCUUUUAAUGUCAUCAAUAAAUCCUUGCUCAUUUAUCAGAUCCCUGAUUGCAUUGAUCUCAUCCCUGAUGGCUUCCAUUGACUCAAACUUCCUGGUUGACAUGCUUGCGGCUUUUCUUAUUUCUUCUCUGUACAAUGGAGCUUUUGAAAAGUCUAUUGCCCUAUAAACUGGUGUUGACAUAAAAUUGUGCCUAACUCUAGAUAAAAUGUUCUUUACUACUGAUAAAUUUAACUUUAACAGCCAACUAAAAUCAGGUAUACUUAUAUUUUGUAACUUAAACUACACGUCUAACUUUACCUACAAAAUUCAAAUUACAAUUAAAAACCUGGUUGCUACCUAAUCUUUCCACAAAGGAAGCCUAGCAAGUCUGUAAACUAAAACUGGAUUCUGAUAAAAACUGAAAUUGAAAUCUCAACUGAAGUUUAAACUUGCUAAUAUUUGAGGCUGACUUUGUGUGCCGGAAAGGAAUGUUAUACUAAACUUUGCCUUUUUCCUUGAUUACUGCUUUUGGCACGAGUAAUGGUGUCCAAGUUUGAUUACGGUGUUAACCGGUCGCCCAAGGAGUAUUACUCUUAACAGUAGAAUUAAGAAGCCCCUCUAAAAUCAAAAACCGUCCUUUUUAUACUCAAAAUAUAAGCACCUAACCAAAAGCUAUAUUUACAUAUAUAUUCCAGCUUUACAUAUAUCUGGUUGACUAACUACCACCUAUAAUCAAUACACAUAUUUUCAUUGCUAUGGAUAUACGUGAAUUCAAUGCGAUCGCGUCGUUUGUGUACAUAAUCAAUUAACUCGCUCGGUGGUACAGUUUUUUUUUCUGGCUAAUGCAAUAUGUUAAAAUAGCCAGCCGUGAGCAUUGCAAUAACUUUACUGAUCUACUAUCUGUACUAGCUAAGAUAUAGAUUUCGGCCUGAUCUAUGAUACAAUUAGGGCUGUUGCAAGUGUUGCUAGUUUUAUAGAAAACUCGUUAAAGUAAAUUGUCACUCUGACAGUGUUCGGCUUUGGCCUCUAAAUAUCCAUUCAGAGUUGAUCGCAUUUAUAAACGGUGUCUUCUUAUUUCCAGUUUAACACAAAACUGCCACAGGCGGUCACUGUCUAUUACUUUGUCACUGUCGCCAUGUUCUUCUUGUGGGCUUUUUUUUUCUAAAUCUUUGAUAUAGUUGGUUUGGUAGUUCAACUAAUAAUGCUUUAUUGAAAAGUUUUCAGACUUAAAGUAACCUACUACCUGUUCUAUAAUGUACAUGAAGGUGGGAGGAGCCAGUUGCAAUUCUUUCGUUAAAUAAAUUGUUAGCGGGAGAGAGGAGAAAGAGAGAGAGAGAGUAUCGAUUGGUGCAUCAAUGCAAAGAAGGCGAUUGAACCUAUAGCGCAUUACGUAAGGGAAAGAAAUGUCGCCUAGACAGAUAGUGUGGGAAGCUUGCUUAACUUGCUGUGUGCAGCAUAUGUUGCAAAACGAGGAGUCCUGUGAUUCCAGCAUCACUUUCAAAUUGCUCAACAUUUGACAUAUCAACGUGCGCAAUUUCCCAUUCGAUGGUUUUACGCAUCAGGUUAGCCAUUUGAACAAAGUUUCUGCUAAACCUUCCUUAAUAAUGACUGUUCCAAACUCAAUAAGAUCCACAGAUUUACCAGCAGCAAGUGGUGCAAAAGCUUUGAAUAAAAUACUCAUUUUGACCACCGAACUACACAACUCGACAAACCACGUCGUACUGAUAACUUGUCCAUAAAGGCCUAUGGCCUUUAUAACAGUCAGCAGCUCUUGGGAAAUGUAACAAUUGUUUGGGAUUUUAGUGCAUGUUCGGUUUUAGUUUAUGAUCUGUGAUUAGAGAAGGAUUGGUUAACGAUCGUGUGAAUGUUGGAAUGUGGGAAAGUAUUUCGUUUGGGUUAGUCGGAUCAAUAUUAUCAUGCUACAUGUGCGACUCUUCUUGGAUGGAAAAGCAAACGUGAUUACACUGUUCUCUGUUUUCACACUUUCUGUACACCAGUUCUUUAGAUGUUAUAUAACUCUAACCCACCGCUGUCACCACCUGUAGCUGCCCAGUCCAAGCGGCGGCGGAAGCAGAAUCGGUACGAGGUAUUCCUUUUGUUCUAUCGUCGACAACUGUUGGGAGGGUUGUGGUCUUUGGGUACCACAACCACGUUGUUCACAUCGAACCACUCGAUUGCCUUUUUCCCAUAGUGGCAGCUCGCCAAGUCCGACCAGAACAGCAACGUCCACUUGGCGUGCGUCAACGUCGGAAUCUCUUUCUGCGCGAACAAAAUUUUGACACGCUGCUCCGCUUGCUUGAACGUCAAUUUAAACACUGGAGAACAAAUGGUGAAAACAUAUCAUAGUAACCAUUGUAUAUACACCCAACUUCGAAAUGCAGCAUUUCAGGGUGUUUUCAUUUCAUUUUUACCCGGAAAACAUCGAUUUGUAGUUGAGCAAUUUUUGCGCGUUCCAGCCUGCUCUUACGCUUUUCAGCACAUGAAGAAUUAAGAAUCCGACAUUUUAGAACCGUACUUACCCUAACCUCUCUUUUUUGCGAACGUCCCCCUUUGAAAUAUUUGAAAAUAUUUAGAGGCACUGCUUAGCCUUUUGGAUUGAGAAUUAAAGUAAACUACAUACUUCGAGUUCUAACUUACUGACUUGGAUAUAUUUCCUAUUUAAUUACAGAGUUUUGAUAUGAGUUCCCAUUUGUUUGUGCCGUGUUUUUCCUACUAAAUGCUAAUUGCACAUUUUCUGCUGACGUUGACUUUAAAAACGCAUGUUAUUGUGAAUUGUUUCGUUGUGAAUGAACGACUGACCUAGUAGAGAAGGCAACAAGCGACUAGAAAUAUACGCUCCUACCGGUGGUUAUUCUUGAUGUUAGGGGAAAAUGAGACAUACGAAUAUUCCUUGGAUUAUCUCCUUGAUCGAUCCAUCUUACUCAUUGUGCUCUUUUCGCUUUUAGUGGGAUAGCACACUUGACACUUAUUACAUGAAAUACCAAUUUUUCAUCGUUUACCCUACGGGCUUUCCUCUGAAAAAUCAAAGAUUGUUUGAAAAAUCAAGAAUUGUUCAUUAUUAACUUGAGCCACUGCGUGGCAAGAAUUUCUUUCUUUUGAGUUAAAGUAGCCACGUUCUCGGUUGGUAGUCGUUCUCGAACUAUAUAUUUCAUUCCAAUCUUUCUUAACGCUAGGUCCUACUCGGGUGGUGGCUACGUGACCCUUUUUAGCGCGUCAGCAUAAAACGGUCACCGCUCUGUCGGUGGCAAUGAUCGCGCUUUAUGCUGCGUCGGAGUUUCGAUAUCAUUUAUUUAUUUUAAUGACUAAAGCGGGCCUGUAUCCACCACACCUCCUUUUCAUUUUGGUCUUGAAUCUUCGAUGAUAAUCUUUUAUUUCAACAUUCUCAUUUCAUUGAAAAUCGUUUUUUUUCAAUCACAGUUCAUUAUUAAAAAACUUUUUACGUUUCUUUCGGUUGUUCAAUUUGAGGUGAGCGUGAGUUUUCUUUCAUUUUCAGUGUUAGUAAAGACUUACGUCUACACUUAUUGGAAUUGUCCUGGAGAUUUCUUAACGAAAGGUACCUUUCUGGCCUUCCGAAAAAACUCUACCUCUAUUUACAAAUCGACCGGUGGUUAUUCUUGAUGUAAGGGGAAACGAGACAUACGAAUAUUCUUUGAGUUAUCUCAACACUUAUUACAUGAAAUACCAAUUUUUCAUCGUUUACCCUACGGGCUUUCUUCCUUUUCAUUUUGGUCUUGAAUCUUCGAUAAUAAUCUUUUAUUUCAACAUUCUCAUUUCAUUGAAAAUCGUUUUUUUUUCAGUUACAAUUCAUAAUUAAAAAUUUUUUUAUUUUUCUUCUGGUUGUUCAAUUUGAGGUGAGCGUGAGUUUGUUUCUAUUUUAAGUGUUAGUAAAAACUUACGUCUACACUCUUUGGAAUUGUCCUGGAGAUUUCUUAACGAAAGGUACCUUUCUGGCCUUCUGAAAAAACUCAACCUUUAUUUACAAAUCUUGAAACUACGCACACUAGUGUCAUGUUAUUUUUAAAUCAAUUUAUCUUACUUUUACUU